rnacentral:rRNA from 1 species
UCCAAAAGCGUAUAUUAAUGCUGUUGCUGUUAAAGGGUUCGUAGUUGAAUUGAGGGCCGUGAAGGGGUAUUUUUUCUGGUAAGUCCUGUCCAAGUCGGACACGGACCCAGACCCUUGCGGUCCGUGAACGAAGAUUUAUUCGGAUACAAGAAACACGGGAGUGGUUCCUUCCCUGAACUUCGCAUGCCAUGCAUGCCAGGGGGCGUCCGUGAUUUUUUACUGUGACUAAAGAAGUGUGACCAAAGCAGUCGUUCGACUUGAAUUAGCAAGCAUGGGAUAACAAAGGAGCAGCCAUUAGGCUACCGUUUCGGCUUUUGUUGGUUUUAGAGGUCUAUUGGAGAUUAUGGAGCUGCACGACAAGCGUCCCGUGCCCCCUCGCGGGGGUACUGGCGUCUGUGGCUGGGUGUGGUUUGGCGGCUUCGGCUGUCGCCUGCCCAUUCACUUUGUGGCUUUCAGGAAUGAAGGAGGGUAGUUCGGGUGAGAACGUACUGGGGCGUGAGAGGUGAAAUUCUUAGACCGCACCAAGACGAACUACAGCGAAGGCAUUCUCAAAGGAUACCUUCCUCAAUCAAGAACCAAAGUGCGGGGAUCGAAGAUGAUUAGAGACCAUUGUAGUCCGCACUGCAAACGAUGACACCCAUGAAUUGGGGACAUUGGUUGUGCACCGGGGGCUCCCUCGCGGAGUUCCUCGGGCCACCACUUACUAAUUUACGUGCAUAUUCUUUUCUGGCCCGCUUGCGCGGUGUCCACUUACGGGAAUAUCCUCAGCACGUUUCUUCUUUUUUCACGCGAAAGC